rnacentral:lncRNA from 1 species
AUGACAGGAGAGUUCCAGAAGAGUUUGGGAGGAGGGACUGAUGACACGUUUUCGUGGUUGACUAACUUUUUUAAAAAAGCCACCUACAAGGGCCCAUCAACCAGUCAGCGAAUCCACUUGUUCCAGCGGGGGUGGGGCGGGGGGUGGAGCGUGGGGAGGAGCGAGCCAGCUCGGGGAUCCCCGCCUUCCCAGUGUGGCGGUGCGUGCCGUCCCCGCUCUGGGCCCUGCCACCUAAACGCACACCCCACCCGGGCCUCCUGGGCCACCUCGAAGACCUCCCACUCCGGACUCCUGGAGAUUCCUCCAGCCCGAGUCCCGCCGAGGGCGUCCCCGACUCCGCGCGAUCCGCCCUCCUCCUCCCGCGUCCCCGCCCCCUGCCGGGGCCGCGGGGCGCCGAGGGAGACGAGGGUGCCGCCUGUGGAAAUGAGCGGUGCCCGGAGGCUGGCCCGGAGCUGCAGUUCCAGUUUCAGCGAGAUGUAAUUGACACACAGCCCCGCACAAGUUGAAGGAAGACAGCGUCAUGACUUGACGUACACGUAGUGUGAAGCGCACGACCUUUCAGAGCAGGUAAGAAGCUUAGAAAACAGGAGCCGAGAAAAUAAACAGCAAAUUAAGGCAUUCCUAAAUAUAUACCAGAUGAUGGCAGAGAACAACUCUGUUCUGAGACAUUAUUAUUGUGGGAACAGUGAAAAUAAAUGCAGAGUUGAUCUUGCAUUAAUCAAGAUUUUGAAAAGUAAUGGGUGAGAUAAACACUUGCAUUGGGCUGUCUGUUUUCUACGGAGACAUACAAUUUCAGAGUCAUUCAUAGGGAGGGAAAUUUGACUGUGAAAUCAUGAAUACUGGCAUUGCUUUCAGCAAGCUCUCUGUUCUUGCCAGUGUGUGGCUUAUGUAAUUAAUUUCCUCGUAUAAUCCCUGUUUUUAAAAAAACUAGAUGGAUCGGGGCGCCUGGGUGGCUCAGUCGGUUAAGCCUCCGGCUUCGGCUCAGGUCAGAUCUCACAUUCGUGGGUUCGAGCCCCGCGUCAGGCUUUGUGCUGACAGCUAGCUCAGAGCCUGGAGCCUGCUUCCGGGUCUGUGUCUCCUUCUCUCUCUGCCCCUCCCCCUCUCAUGCUCUGUCUCUCUCUGUAUUAAAAAUAAAUAAAACAUUAAAAAAUUAAAAAAAACUAGAUGGAUCAUGAAGUGACUUGAUCCUUUCAUGCUCAUCACAACAUAUAGUCAUUAAAAUAUAACACAGGUAAUUCCCGGUUCCCUAGUAGCUCUUACUGCCUUCGUGGGCUGCAGUGUUUAAGAAGCCAGUUUUGCAGUUGACCACACUGGGCAUUCUACAGGAUUCCGUCUUUCUAAGAAUGUAUUAGAUCUGCUUUUUUAGAUAGAACCUAGCCCCUGUCAGUUUACUAGCUGCCUACCACGUGACUAAACUGAGUUUUCAGAUGCUUUGAGUGGAAUGUAGAAGACUAUUUGUUUACUAAAAAAGCAAACAUGAAAACUCCAAGCCUUACGGUUAAACUCCUAUCAGUUUACCUUUAAUUACCUCCUGAAGUGCCUGUUAAUGAUUCAUUACUUAUAAAAAUAAAUUAUAGGGACCCUGCAACCCUGUUUGUAAGUUUCUUUAAAGUUUUUGAUUUGGCCGCUGCCAGGAAAAUUGGUGUGUGGCAGAAACACG